UGCAUUGUCAAUGUGGAGAUGAGAGGUAAACAUUAGUUAUCUUCUAUCUCGCCCUACCAUUUUUUUCUUUUUAACAGAGAGAGAGAGAGAGGGAGAGAAAGAGAGAAAGAGAGUGUCUCUCACUGAGCCUGACCUUACUCAUUGGCUAGAAUGACCAGCUGGUUUGGGAUUCUGAACUCAGGUCUUUGUGCUUAUACAGGAGGCAUUUUUCUCACGGAGCUAUUUACCUGUCAUAUCUUGUGAUCUUCAGAUUUGCUGGAUGAAGUCUCAGAACUCAAGGAAACAGUUCACUGACUCUUGUGAGGUUUAUGAUGGUCUCCCUUUAUGCACAGCAUUCGCAUUCCAAGCCUCCCUGUUAAUACUUGAAGCUUCAGAUAGUAAAAAUUCCAACUGAACUAAGUUUAUUGCUAUCCAAUGAUGCAUACAAUUAAGUUUGAUUUAUAAAUUAGACAAAAUGAAAAUUAGCCACAACAAUAAUAAACUAGACCAAUUAUAACAGGGCAAUUAUAAGAUUAUUCUGUAAUAUAACAUACAUGAUUGUGGUCUCACUCGCCUCUCAAGAUAUAUUAUUGUAUUAUGCAUACAUUCCUUGGGACAAAGUGACACAAUCCAGUGUCUCUGUGAUUACAUCAACAACUACUGUGAAAGGAAAAAGGAAGUAACAACAAAACAUCACUUGGAGGAAGAUUUUGAAAUGGAAUCAGAAAAAUCUUGGGGGAUUUAUUUAGCAUUUAGUGGCUGCCUAAGAACUUUGAUCAUCUGUGCACCUGGGCCACAGGCACUGAGAGUAUGCCCAGAGGCUCAAGAUAAUCAUCACAAGGUUAUCAGACUCCUGUUUUAUGAACCUUGCCAUUCUUGUCAUUCUCUUCUUUAUCUUCUGUCAGCCAUAUUGUUUUGAUCUUUCUCAACACUUAAUGUCUCACAAAAUCUCUUACCGUCUUCUUGUCUUCUUCCGAACGUUGAUUCAGCGAUAAAUGAACCCAUACCUCCCAAAUUAAAAUGUCUAUACUCUUAAA